GCCGCCUCCUGAGCGGCUGUCGGGGGCCCGCCCAGCUGUUGACAAAGGCCGCACUGUAGAACCCGGGUUUGGUGAAGGGUUGGAUUCCAAGCCACCACUUGUUAGGCCUCCCACUGGUCAUAGCUACACAAAGUGUAAUCAUAAGAAAACAUCAGAGAAACCCCAGUCGAAGGAUAUUAUGCACAGGGCCUGACCAGUACUCCUCAAAAUUGAUUAUGGUUAUCAAGAACAAGGAAAGUCUUAGAAACUGUCAAGCCAAGAGAAGCCUAUGGAGACAUUACAACUAACUGUAAUAUGAUAUCUUGGAUGGGAUCCUGGAAAAGAAGAAAAGAUAUUAGGUCUCUAGACUUUUGUUGAGUGAAGAACAAUUUACUAUGAGGUGACCUACAAAAACAACACUCAGAAUUCUCUCAAAUCACAUUGGUCAGUGCAAUCAGCUCUCAGAUAUUUGCUUGAGAAGCAGCCACAGGAGGCCAGCAAGAGGCAGAGAAGCUGGGGCCUUCCAAGGGGCCAGAAAGGAAGCAGGAGGAUCUUGGGUCAUGAUGUGGGACCUGAUGACACACAGUGGAACAGCAUCCAGAAGAGCUGCUGAGGUCAAAAAGGGGAAUCAAAAUGAUAUUCACUUGAGUGGAUCUCUUGUGGACACCAGUGAAGGGCUGAAUUGUAUAUGGAGGUUGACAUGGGGCCUUUGAAUCAUGAUGGCUUACACAGUUGCAAGAGCCCAGAAGCAGAAGCACCAGGAAAAUUCACAGCAGACUUGCUUUGGACUUCCCUGGACUGUGGAAAUGGGGAUUGGGACCAAUCUCUUCCAGAGUUCAAAGAUGAAGGAGGCCCCAGCUGACAACUGGGUUACAAGGACUCAGGAAAUCCUGUUUGAGGAGAAGGCCAAAGGCUCAAUCAAGACUUCUCUAUAUUGCAGCUUGACAGUAGAGGUGCAAAAAUCCUAGACAGCAUAGAAAGGGAAACAAGAGUAAAACCUGAUCCAAUGUCCAGCAUCAAAGGAGUGGAGUAUCUCUGCAAGGUGGAGUUGCUGAAGCUACUAAAAAGUAUGGGGUCAUUCCUGCAGAACCAGCAAUGAUUUGACUAGUAAGUGUGGGAGUGUGGGCCCAGCUGCCACUGGCUCUGGGAGAAAACAUUGUUGUUGUCCUCUUGCUGUGCCCUGGCCUGGGCCAUUUGCCUAGACGUUGCAUCUGGGAUGUAAUAAGGGGUCUGCUGAGGCUGUCUAAACCUGCCCCCCACUCCCUAUUCUUGCUAUCUCAUGGGAAGAACAGUGGAAUAAUUAGAAGAGACCCAAGAAGCAUCUCUGGGGAUGUCCGAAGACCACCAAGGGCUCAGGACCAGUACUUUCAUAUCUUCCUUACAACUGAAGGCCAGGUCUUGGAAAACACAAGAGACUUCAGGGAAGAAGCUCUGGCUACAGGGAUCAGGCCAGGGUGGAAUUUGCAAUUCUUAGACUCUAGUACCUAAAUAAGACCAAACAUGGAAGACAAGCCUACCCAGAUACUUGCUUAUCUGACUGAAUUAUCUGAAUAUAGAACAGAAUGGAGAAAGUGCCCAGUCAAAAUGCACAAGGCAGAAUCCAUAACAGAACUCUUGGCUCCAGGGCACUUACCUAGAAUUCCAGCUGUUGCAGACUUGGGCUUCCCUGUCUUCAUGCUCACCACCAACUUACUUUAGACCCAUGCUGUUGAAGGACAUGAAACAAUUGCUGCUUACUUACUCCUUGGUCAAUACAUAUGCCGGUCAGAAUCCUCUGUAUGUCACUUCCUCCAGCACCUGCCCAGGCUGGGGGUAGGAGGGACAGUCUUGGUCCCCAGCCUCUCCUGAUCAUCCUGCUCUAAGUAGCCAUUCAUGCACUCUGACUCCUAACCUAUGAAACCCACCCAGCCAUCUCUCUCCUGGACCACUGUAGCAGCCUCCAGUUUGUCCCCCAUUCCCUGCCCCCAACCUCUGCCACACAAAUCCAUAGCUACAGAAAGCUACUUGAUCAUGAUCAAUUUUCUUAAGACACAAUUUGGAUCAAGUUGUUGACUUGGUCUGAACAUCUUCAAUGCCAUCCUCAGCACUUAUAGAAUAAAAGCUAAGUCCCUCAGUGGGAUAUCCAGAA